rnacentral:rRNA from 1 species
GGAAUGUAGCUUGCUACAUUACCUAGCNNNNGACGGGUGAGUAAUGCUUAGGAAUCUGCCUAUUAGUGGGGGACAACAUUCCGAAAGGAAUGCUAAUACCGCAUACGUCCUACGGGAGAAAGCAGGGGACCUUCGGGCCUUGCGCUAAUAGAUGAGCCUAAGUCGGAUUAGCUAGUUGGUGGGGUAAAGGCCUACCAAGGCGACGAUCUGUAGCGGGUCUGAGAGGAUGAUCCGCCACACUGGGACUGAGACACGGCCCAGACUCCUACGGGAGGCAGCAGUGGGGAAUAUUGGACAAUGGGGGGAACCCUGAUCCAGCCAUGCCGCGUGUGUGAAGAAGGCCUUUUGGUUGUAAAGCACUUUAAGCGAGGAGGAGGCUACUAGUAUUAAUACUACUGGAUAGUGGACGUUACUCGCAGAAUAAGCACCGGCUAACUCUGUGCCAGCAGCCGCGGUAAUACAGAGGGUGCGAGCGUUAAUCGGAUUUACUGGGCGUAAAGCGUGCGUAGGCGGCUGAUUAAGUCGGAUGUGAAAUCCCUGAGCUUAACUUAGGAAUUGCAUUCGAUACUGGUCAGCUAGAGUAUGGGAGAGGAUGGUAGAAUUCCAGGUGUAGCGGUGAAAUGCGUAGAGAUCUGGAGGAAUACCGAUGGCGAAGGCAGCCAUCUGGCCUAAUACUGACNNNGAGGUACGAAAGCAUGGGGAGCAAACAGGAUUAGAUACCCUGGUAGUCCAUGCCGUAAACGAUGUCUACU